GGCUGAUCAGAAGGUAGUGAAUUGUCUCAGUUGACUGUUCACAGUCACUUACAGGUUGAACCCCUUGUUCUGCCACUUUCCCCUCCUCACUACUGCACUUCGGUAGUCUUAA
rnacentral:Y_RNA from 1 species